rnacentral:ncRNA from 2 species
GAAGCUCUGAAUUGAAGCCCCAGUAAACGGCGGCCGUAACUAUAACGGUCCUAAGGUAGCGAAAUUCCUUGUCGGGUAAGUUCCGACCCGCACGAAUGGUGUAACGAUUUGGAUACUGUCUCAACGAGAGACCCGGUGAAAUUAUAGUACCUGUGAAGAUGCAGGUUACCCGCGACAGGACGGAAAGACCCCAUGGAGCUUUACUGUAGCUUGAUAUUGGAUGUUGGUACCGUUUGUACAGGAUAGGUAGGAGCCUUGGAAGCGUGAGCGCCAGCUUACGUGGAGGCGUCGGUGGGAUACUACCCUGACGGUGCUGACAUUCUAACCUCGAACCGUGAUCCGGUUCAGGGACAGUGUCAGGUGGGCAGUUUGACUGGGGCGGUCGCCUCCUAAACAGUAACGGAGGCGCCCAAAGGUUCCCUCAGAAUGGUUGGAAAUCAUUCGUAGAGUGCAAAGGCAAAAGGGAGCUUGACUGCGAGACCUACAAGUCGAGCAGGGACGAAAGUCGGGCUUAGUGAUCCGGUGGUACCGCAUGGAAGGGCCAUCGCUCAACGGAUAAAAGCUACCCUGGGGAUAACAGGCUUAUCUCCCCCAAGAGUCCACAUCGACGGGGAGGUUUGGCACCUCGAUGUCGGCUCAUCGCAUCCUGGGGCUGAAGUAGGUCCCAAGGGUUGGGCUGUUCGCCCAUUAAAGCGGUACGCGAGCUGGGUUCAGAACGUCGUGAGACAGUUCGGUCCCUAUCCGUCGCGGGCGUAGGAAAUUUGAGAGGAGCUGUCCUUAGUACGAGAGGACCGGGAUGGACACACCGCUGGUGUACCAGUUGUUCCGCCAGGAGCAUCGCUGGGUAGCUACGUGUGGACGGGAUAAGUGCUGAAAGCAUCUAAGCAUGAAGCCCCCCUCAAGAUGAGAUUUCCCAUGGAGUUAAUCCAGUAAGACCCCUUAGAGAUGAUGAGGUUGAUAGGUCUGGUGUGGAAGCGUGGCGACACGUGGAGCUGACAGAUACUAAUCGGUCGAGGACUUAUCCAA